UAUUUCCUAGGAUUUAUUCCCCCUGUGAACAGAUGUGUUGUAUUACAUAACAUUGCUUGAGCAUUCUUGACAGAGUCCUGGCUGUCAAUUUAUCAGUGGCAACUGUUUACUGGUUGAAAAUGGGAAGCAAUAAUAUUCAUCUGCCCAGUUUUCUCUUAAAGCUAUUUCCAUGAUGAUGAUGAUGAGACUAAAUUAUAUUUUUUAUUUCAAUCACUCCUGAUAAAUAACAAAUUUGGAGAAGUAAAAAUAUCUUAAA